CCUACGGGAGGCAGCAGUGAGGAAUCUUGGUCAAUGGCCGUAAGGCUGAACCAGCCACGUCGCGUGAAGGAAGAAGGAUCUAUGGUUUUUAAACUUCUUUUAUAGGGGAAUAAAGGUAUCCACGUGUGGAUAUUUGCAUGUACCCUAUGAAUAAGCAUCGGCUAACUCCGUGCCAGCAGCCUCGGUAAUACGGAGGAUGCGAGCGUUAUCCGGAUUUAUUGGGUUUAAAGGGUGCGUAGGUUGUUUUUUAAGUCAGCGGUGAAAGUUUGUGGCUCAACCAUAAAAUUGCCGUUGAAACUGGAAGACUUGAGUGUGUUUGAGGUAGGCGGAAUGCGUGGUGUAGCGGUGAAAUGCAUAGAUAUCACGCAGAACUCCGAUUGCGAAGGCAGCUUACUAAGCCAUAACUGACACUGAAGCACGAAAGUGUGGGUAUCAAACAGGAUUAGAUACCCGGGUAGUC
rnacentral:rRNA from 1 species